UACGGGGGGGGCAAGCGUUGAUCGGAAUUACUGGGCGUAAAGAGCUCGUAGGUGGUUUGUCGCGUUGUUCGUGAAAACUCACAGCUUAACUGUGGGCGUGCGGGCGAUACGGGCAUCACUGGAGUUCGGCAGGGGAGACUGGAAUUCCUGGUGUAGCGGUGAAAUGCGCAGAUAUCAGGAGGAACGCCGGUGGCGAAGGCGGGUCUCUGGGCCGAUACUGACGCUGAGGAGCGAAAGCGUGGGGAGCAAACAGG
rnacentral:rRNA from 1 species